UCUUUUUCCUUUUUCUUCCCGAGCACUCUCUUCUUCUUCUUCUUCUUCUUCUCUCGGCAACCGAUGGCAAGACACCAGACCCAACCACCACUUUUGACACGCGGCAGCUCAUCGGUUUCGCCUUGCUCCGACGACCUCAACUGCCAAGCGGCACCGCCCAACUCGCCGUCAAUCGUUCGGAAUCGCCAGUCAAAGUUUUGGUCCGUCAACUUUGACUGUGUUUUUCGGCCAACUCCGACCACCUCUUGACGAGUGGUUGAUACCCUUGGAACCAGCGUGGAGAGAGGAGCAAAACCCACUAAUUCAUUCCGAUCAACUCGCCGUUUUUCUCUGGCAAGAUUUUGGGUAUCUCCGCCCUUUGGAAGCGUUUUCCGGCGACACCGGAGGUCAUUUGGGCGAAGAAGUUGUACUUUCGUGAUGUACUCAUCGAGAGGAUCGUUUUGAUAUAUGCCAUGCAUAUAUUCGUCGACGUUUCCGGUACCGCCACCAACUGCUAUAGUGCACCGCUUGGGAAAAACGUGAUAUUAAAAUCGGACUAAAUCAUUCUAAGAUCAUCGAUAAGCUUAGGAGCGUUGCUUUGGGCUCGGAUUAAAUUCUAAGGAGGUAUCUAAAGAGAAUAUGAACCAAUUCAUCCAAACACCAACUAGAAGAUGCAUAAUUUUUCGAGAAUACUAUGACAGAAAGGUUUGAGUCCUCAAUUGCUUUCAAGAGAGCAGAAGAAAUAUGAACCAACUAGAAGAUGCAUAAUUUUUCGAGAAUACUAUGACAGAAAGCUUUGAGUCCUCAAUUGCUUUCAAGAGAGCAGAAGAAAUCUCAUCACCUCUCUCCAGCAUCACAUCCAUGUAAACUUGUAAACUUUUAUGGGACAAUGCUUUGUGGAGAUGGCUAGUGAAUUUGUGACGGGUGUCCUCACCUCUAAAGCUUAUGAAAACGUCGUACUUAUUAUUCGUUGGUGCCAUAGUCAUGAUCUGAAGACAAACUCUCACAACACAGCACUUCUUCAAAAUGUGGAGUGCGUAUCUUCCAAGCUUUGUAAUCUUGUGUGAAAUUUCUUGGAAAUUUUGUGGAUGAUGAAGAAGAAGAAGAAGAAGAAGAAGCUACACCACUCAAUUAAUGAUAAGGUUUUCAUAUAUGCGCCAAAGUCUACUUUUGUCAAUUUUUGUUUUUUUUAUUAUUUACGUAGUUUUAAACUGCCACGUGCAAUAGCAUAUUAGACUAGUAUAAAUAUAUAUGGGGCGGCUAUGAUAAAUUCUAAAUUUUUUUAUAACAGGUAUUUAAUUUAUUGUAAUUAUAGUUCUCUUUUUACGGAAUAUACUAC